GAGAUGAGCUGCUUUCCACAACAGCAAGAGCAGUCGGGUUCCCUUCAGUGAGUACUGUUGCAUAGCAGACUUCUGGAAACAUUCCCAGUCCUUGGCGUAUUCAUCAGGAUCGUUACAAUUCUGCUGCCACAAAGAGGGAAGUAUCGUGUUCUCCUGUUAUUUAUUAGCAUAUGCUGGAGUGUGAGGGACCGUGGUGGGGAGGGGAGCCCUGCUGUGAGGGGCACGGGGUAAACACAGCCGAAAUGACAGCAGCAGGCCUCAUCACAGAGCGUUAGCAAUUCAAACAGCCACGUCAGGCAGAGAAUUUGAGAGACGGAUGUAACACAAGCAAAGGAAGAACGUGGCAGUUUGCAAACAGUGAGUUGGGUGAUGUUCUUGUAGGUGUGUUCAUUCUUGAAGCACCUCGAAAGAAAUGCAAAUGAAAUGUAUGGUGGGCAGGUCUCCGUGCAAGCAAGGCCUGUUGGAGCUUCAGGUCAGAGAUGCAGGAACUUCUUUAUCUCGUAGAGAGAGAUAACAAGAGGGCUUUUGGAAAAUGUGAGAAAACCAUUGGAGGUCUGGUUUUGCCUAAAGGCACAGUGGGAUGGAUGAUGGAGUCUGAGGAGUGGGGAGUUGUGUGCUAUUCUAUUAAUAAAAGCAGAAGGAAGUAGCAGAACAGAAGCAGUGGAGCAAAUCCCAAAGUCAGUGCCCCACCAAACAGGCAAAAAACUCACCAAAGAAAAGCUGAUGAAUUUCCAGGGUAGAAUUUGUUGGCAGACAGACUGGGCUGAUGUUUCCUAAAGCAACCAGCUUAAUCCCUCCAUUCUGCAAAGGCAAUGCCAAACAAAAGAAAGCUGCUCAACAUUUUCUAUUAGCCUGAAAUUUUGCUGCAGAGAAAAUGAUAACAUGGAAGGAAUUUCCUUGGGAAAGAAAAGAGAAAAGGGUGCUGUGGAAUUAUUUUAGUUCAGACGACUGCAAUGCUAAAAAUGAAUUCUGGGGCAGGACAAUAAACUCAUACACGAAUAUUAAUUCUGCUUGCAGUCACCCAAGGAGUUCAGUCACUGAAGCCCAUUCAUGGUCCGUGUGCUUCCACAGCCUCAGAGGGAUGCUCCAAAAAACUUUGAAAAGCCCAAUCUAAACACGUUUGUGCCCAACUUUCUAAAGAUCCUCCUGUGUGGCUGCAAAGAAUAAGUAAUUUCUAUCUGUAACACGUUAUGAAGUCCUCGGGAAGUAGGCACCGGGGCAGUGUAAAAUGGUUAUUUUAGCCUUAUCUUCUCUUACAAUUGCUUGUUCUCCAUCUCCGCGGAGGGCAGCUGGCAGCACAGCGCUGCGGUGAUUUAAGCCCACCAGGCUGCGGUGUUGGCUCUGUUGUGCAGCGCCUGAGCCGCUGUGCAGGACUUGGCCAUAAACCGCACAGCCCAAGGAAGAUGUUGCUUGUUUUCCAGGACAGGAUGAAAUCACCCCGUGCAUGUCCUCUGUCUGUCGCCUCUCCUGGCAGGGAAAACAUAAAUGCCUUUCCCAUCAUUUUAUUUAUUGCCUUUCUGUGUUUCCUGGGAAAAGCCUAUUUUUAUUUUCUAGCACUUUUGUGUGUGAGUCUGUGUGGGGUAAGCAUGUGUGUGUGUGUGUGUGUGUGUGUGUGUGUGUGUGUGUUUAGGAGGUUAAAAAAAAAUUCUUGCUGUCAGCAAGUGAUGUUACAAACCUGCUCUGACAAGGCUGGUUGUAUAUUUACAGUUGGUGAGAGCGAAGGCUUCAUCAAUCUUCACGCUUUGAAAGGGACAGGCCCGCUCCCAUGAGCACCUGCUCCGGGAGAACAGCUGAACUGUGACUUUCCAGGGAGCUAGCUGUAAAUUUUAGCCAUUCCCCCCGCAGCCCACGCAUGCUUGAGCUCUUUAACCUUCCCAGGCUGGCAGGAGUCCCAGCAAUCAGUUUAGUGCAAAGACUGGGGUUCUUUUUAAUUAACCUUUUGUUUCCCACUGCAGGUGUUUCGAAGUUUCUUAAUGUUAAAAAGGAAGAGGAAAGAAGCUGUUUGCAGAGGUGCAUCCACUCUCUUCCACUCUUGCUAUGCUCGGUGAUCAAAUGGGAGCGGUCUUUCUCAUGUUUCUGCUCCUCAUUUGCCUCCUGCAUGUAAGAUUAUAACAACAUCUGCUCCGAACCUCUGUAGGCAUCUACACAAAGUAUUCCCGUGAGUACAUUUCAGUUCUGUCCUGCAAGGUCACCCUUCCAUCCUUUGUGAGGCAUCUGCUUUUCCAACCCACUCCGCUUUCUCCAGGCAACGUUCUCCCGACGCCUGCCUCCCUCAGUGGGUUGAUGUUCUGUUUAAUUAGUUUGGCCUCUCGCACCCGGCCGGGGGAAGUUUGAUUAGAGACUCAGACAACACUUCUGUUCCUUCAGCCUCCGGUCCUCCCAGAGCACACACCCGAUGGAAGGAGAAAAAAAUGCCCUUUCCUACAACUCCAGCCAGCCCGUCCUGCUUGGACCAUCCACGCUGGUAUGGCACACAAGGCUGGUGAGAAGUCAGAGCUUAGAAAACGUCGUGGUAGAGCACAGGGACAGGGUUUACUUAUGUCGUGCUUGGGAAGCGUUGCAGUAUUUUUAUGCACUGAACAGGUUGCCCAAGGAGGCUGUGGAUGCCCCAUCCCUGCAGGCAUUCCAGGCCAGGCUGGAUGUGGCUCUGGGCAGCCUGGGCUGGUGGUUGGUGACCCUGCACAUAGCAAGGGGUUGGAACUAUUUGAUCAUCGUGGUCCUUUUCAACCUGGGCCAUUGUGUGAUUCUAUGAUUUUUUAAUGUAAAAGCAUUCGGUUUUCUUCAGCGCUUGCCCUGUUAAUAAAGAAAGCUGUAUCAUUUGGUAUGGCUAAGCAUUGACAAUAUUUGCUGCUUAAAGGCUUGCCAUGUGAAAACCCAGCUACCUAAAUCCCAAACACCUCAUUUCAGAAGGGAAAUAUUCCCGCACUGUAAGAAGAGAGUGCUGUUGUCCUAUCAGAGCAAUAAAAUCAGUUGAACAAGACUGUUGUACCUCCAAGAAAAUUCAUAUGUGGAAAUUUAUCACAAGGAAAAAAUACACUUAAGCCCCACUUAAAAUAAUAAAAUACAUCUUUU
ensembl:lncRNA